ACGGAAAUGAAAAUAAGUCGUGUCUUCUCACCUGCCCUGCUUGGUGAUGAUCAUCUCGGUCUGGUGCCGGUGGAACUUGAGCCACAGCGGCCGGUUGCAGAGAUCAGCCGAGGGGGAAUCAUUCCACUUAAUUCAGCCUCAGAAAAUGAGGCGGCGUGAUGUCAGAAAUAACAGUGUGGGAUUUAUAAUUUCACCUGAAUGGAUCUCUGGCCCAGUCACUGCCGAUGAUCAAAACAAAAAAGAGGGACGAAGAAGAAGAAGUAGACGAAGAAGAAGAAGAAGAAGAAGCCUGAGCCAUGUGGAGGCGGACCGAUCGCGGUGUAGAAGCGCACUCCCGCUUCCACCGCUGCUCUCUCCUUGUGGCCGUGACGCACAGAUAGCAGCCUAUUAUCAGAUCCUCCACUGAUCUCCAGGGGAGGGGCGGGGGAUCCUCGGCAUCACGGCCAAGGUGUGCGGGAGAGGGGCUGCCCACCCCCCCAAAGAUCCAUCUGUGAGUCGUUUGCAUCUCAUCAACCUCUCAGAGACAUCAGCAGAGUCACAGUCCCAUCCAGGUCAGUUUUGCCACAAUGGCCCUGCGGAUGGAACCUGUCGCCACUGAAUCUGGGCUGCAUCCCUGUCUUUGUAGUCCCGGUCAUUGACUAGCGCAGGGCCAGACGACACUCAUCUACUUGCUGCUGCAGACCGGUUUGCAUGACAAAGACAGUGACAGGAUUAAUGGAGCAGGGCCGCCACCUCUCAAAUAAACACGCUGCACAUCAAACAGGACAAAUCAACUGUUUGGGUAAACUGUUUGAAUGGGCAAACAGUCUAAAGCUAAUACACCUCUGCUGAUUGCGCAGAUAAACUGA